rnacentral:tRNA from 1 species
AAAGCUUUAAGUUAAAGUAAACCAUUAACCUUCAAAGUUAAAAAUAUGGAUAGUCUGUAAGCUUUA